rnacentral:SRP_RNA from 1 species
GCCGGGCGUGGUGGCGGACGCCUGUAAUCCCAGCUACUCGGGAGGCUGAGACAGAGAAUUGCUUGAACCCAGGAGGCAGAGGUUGCAGUGAGCCGAGAUUACGCCACUGCACUCUAGCCUGGGCGACAGAGCGAGACUCCGUCUCAA